GCGCUGUUUUGCCUGAGCGAGUGGCAGCCCUCUACUGCUGUGCUUUGGCACAAUUCAUCUCGUGUGAUGAGCUUACUUUCGGCCCUGUCCUAAGAAACUACAACAUUUGGCGCCUGAACAGGGACCUGAAAGAGCUGAAUCCUAUUGGGUGCCGGCUAAGAAGAUAAAGCUUCGGGAUGGCAACUAAGCGUAGCCUUGAUGUGAUGGGAAUGACAAAGGGAUGUGUGGAGAUGGAUUUGAGCAAGAGAGCAUUCCGUGUGCCGUUGGAUCAAACAAAGAGGGCGUCUCCAGUGACUUGGGGGCAAAUGAAAAAGUUUGCAGGCACUGCUGAAAAUCUUGUCAUUUCACAGGGUAAACCCCUCACUAGCACCAAUCUUUUUGUAGCUAUGUUGGCAAUGUUGUCUGCAGAGUUCGACGACGAGUGAAAGCUACCCGCUAUGCAACAUCGCAACAAGCUGCUGUGUUUUCCUUGAUGCUGCACAAGCUGCAAAAUAAUUCCAUGUAGUUUAGUACCGAGAGUAAUGCUGCCGUGUUCUCCUUGAUGCUAUAAAAAUUAUAAAACAAAAAGGGGGAAAUGUAGUGGGAUAACUGAGGACAUGGAAAGGAGACGUGACCCAUGAGC